CAGCCACCCCGUUCCAUCACCAGUUCACUUUCCUCAUUGUACUCACACGUAGAGAAAUGGUUUGUAUUUGUUGGUUCUGUUGUUUAUUUUCCGGAUCCUGACACCAGCACCGUGAGAGCAGUCUGCGAUCUCCCCAAAGCACGGCACGGGCUCUCCAAAUGUGUGGUGGGGCCAUGAACGCACAUACUAAUGAUGAACAUUCACCGAAGCUGCCAAUACCCCACACUCCAGGCGCUGUGGAGUAUUGCUUGUGUCAGCAUGGGUCAGCGUGCAAAAUACAACUGGCCUUUGAACGACAUGGGUUUGAAGUGCGUGGGUCCGCGUACAUGCAGAUGUUUUCCAAUAAAUUAUUGGAAAAUUUUGUGGAGUUGUGAAACUAUCUGGAAAACCUCACAGAUGAACUACAUGGCCUGGAUAUGUUGAAAAAAUUAAGAAAAACUUAGGUUUCCUGGUCACUCUGCUGAUUGUGUCCUUUGAGGCAGAGAAGUACAGCCUCAGAGACUCAAACUCUGCGAGGGUGGCUGAGAAAUAAAUCAAAUGUUUCUAAACAUGAAGGACGAUCAACCGCAAUGAAGCCAGAUCAGAGAAGGCUGGGAACGGAAGUUCAAGACCAAUGGGGCUGCCCUUGGCUCUACACUUGGCUCUCAGUUCCAAGGCCCGAUGGUGCCUCCAAGAGAGGAAUUAGGGUCUUUUACACAAUAAAUUUAAAAUACUGAUUUGAAUUCUAAAACCCACUGUUCUGAUUGUUGGGUAUCAGGGUGAUCGUUAAGAGUCCUAAAAAUAUUCGGAUAUAAAGAAGCAACAGACAAAGGCAAGAAAAAUAAUGAAAUCACGAUUUUACUAGGUUCUCUUUAUAAGAAGAAACACACAGACUGUUAGCACGGUCGAUGGCCAAAACCAGCGUGACAAGAGGGACAAUGUAUGGGGACAAGAACCACACACUUGAACAGUGAAGAUUUAAGCUGUGUGAGGCUAGAACAUGAAGCCCAGAUUUCCUUUCCUUUGUGUCAACCACAACAUCAACGUGUGGGGAAGCGACAAGCUCACGUUUCAUUCUGAUGUUAUCACAGGGGCCUCCAUAAAUGUCACACUCAGGCGACAGCUAAAAAUACAUGAGAAUCUAAUCUUCAAAUAAGCUUGCUUCGGUAGCUGGAAGUGUCAGGGAGGAAAGGGCCCGUAACAAAGUGUGGAUGUAAAACCACCAAAAUAGCUCCCAUUUCCUUUCUCUGCAAACUCUCCGUAUCCUCCACCCUGUUUUCUCCACCCAAGGAAGUUCGUUUGUGGCACCGACUGUUUUCCUAGGCUCUGCAACGGGAUGGGACACUCCAGGUUCACAUGGGUGUUUGUUUUGAUGAAGGAGUAAGACUUCCUCUGAACACAAUGCAGAUCCACAUCUUUGCCUCCUCGCGGAAGAAGGAAACGUCCCAAAUAUGCAAUCUCCUAGCAUUUCCACUUCCUCCGAUGUUAAAAAAAAAAAAAAAAAAAAAGACCUUGUUCUGUACUGUCAUACAUUUUGUAUUCGCUUUUCCAUAUUUUAGGAGCUAAACAAAACCUAUAUGUGGCUGUUUCUUUCCAAAGGAACUUGUGCAAAUCCCUUAUUUAAUUUUGUGCUAGUUUUGGUGAUUUGCUAACCCAGUAGAUGUACU